AUACUUACCUGGGAGGUAAGGUAAUAUCAUACUCACAAAGCUGGUUUUCCCAUGGUGAGGCUUAUCCAUUGCACUCCAGUUGUGCUGACCCCUGGGAUUUCCCCAAAUGUGGGAAACUCGACUGCAUAAUUUGUGUUAGUGGGGGACUGCAUUUGCUUUCUCCCC